rnacentral:rRNA from 1 species
GACGAACGCUGGCGGCGUGCCUAAUACAUGCAAGUUGAGCGCUGAAGGUUGGUACUUGUACCAACUGGAUGAGCAGCGAACGGGUGAGUAACGCGUGGGGAAUCUGCCUUUGAGCGGGGGACAACAUUUGGAAACGAAUGCUAAUACCGCAUAAAAACUUUAAACACAAGUUUUAAGUUUGAAAGAUGCAAUUGCAUCACUCAAAGAUGAUCCCGCGUUGUAUUAGCUAGUUGGUGAGGUAAAGGCUCACCAAGGCGAUGAUACAUAGCCGACCUGAGAGGGUGAUCGGCCACAUUGGGACUGAGACACGGCCCAAACUCCUACGGGAGGCAGCAGUAGGGAAUCUUCGGCAAUGGACGAAAGUCUGACCGAGCAACGCCGCGUGAGUGAAGAAGGUUUUCGGAUUGUAAAACUCGGUUGGUAGAGAAGAACGGUGGUGAGAGUGGAAAGCUCAUCAAGUGACGGUAACUACCCAGAAAGGGACGGCUAACUACGUG